rnacentral:rRNA from 1 species
UACGGGGGGGGCAAGCGUUGUUCGGAAUUACUGGGCGUAAAGGGCUCGUAGGCGGCCAACUAAGUCAGACGUGAAAUCCCUCGGCUUAACCGGGGAACUGCGUCUGAUACUGGAUGGCUAGAGGUUGGGAGAGGGAUGCGGAAUUCCAGGUGUAGCGGUGAAAUGCGUAGAUAUCUGGAGGAACACCUGUGGUGUAGACAGCUUACUGGACCACUUCUGACGCUGAGACACGAAAGCGUGGGUAGCAAACAGG